AAUGAAAUCAGCAUUUGCAUUCACUAAAUUACAGCCAGAUAUUUAAAAGUUUGUAGAGAGGCAAGACACAAGACUCAAGAAUGAUUCAAGAAUGCAUAUUUAUAUACUAGAAUGAAUGAGAAUCAGAAUAAG